rnacentral:rRNA from 1 species
UACGUAGGGGGCGAGCGUUGUCCGGAAUGACUGGGCGUAAAGGGCGUGUAGGCGGCCGACUAAGUAUGGAGUGAAAGUCCAUUUUUCAAGGAUGGAAUUGCUUUGUAGACUGGUUGGCUUGAGUGCGGAAGAGGUAAGUGGAAUUCCCAGUGUAGCGGUGAAAUGCGUAGAGAUUGGGAGGAACACCAGUGGCGAAGGCGACUUACUGGGCCGUAACUGACGCUGAGGCGCGAAAGCGUGGGGAGCGAAC